rnacentral:lncRNA from 1 species
UGAAGAAUAUAGCUCACCAAGCUUGACUUGUGAAUAUAGUCUUCACACUUCACAAUCUUCCUUUCGAAGACAACCUCAGUAACUAGUGCUUCAGCAUCUGCCUCUGUGUUUCUCCUUCUUAAUUCAUUGGAAAAACCCCAAUGAUAGUAGUAUAGAAAUCAUGCUUCUCUCUGUCCACUACCUUGGUAAACAUAUCAGCCGGAUUCUUGGAUCCAU